CAUUUUCCUCCCCCUCCACCUUUGCCCCUGUCUCUGCUGUGUUCCCAUCGAGAGCAGCCAGAUCUUCUCCAACACAAUGUUCAGCAUCAAGGUGUUCCUACAGAAAACCCUGAUUCUUCUGCAGGUUACUCUGGCUGUUGUUGUUGGCAAAACACUGAUGAUACUGUUUCCCAAUGCCAUGAAAAGAUACAUCCUAAAACUGGGUGAAAAGAGCAGAAUGAACAAGAAUCCAAAGUUCAGCUAUGAAAACUGGGGUCCGACUUUUUUCAGCUUCAAGUAUUUGCUCUUUGUGCUGAAGGUGAAGUGGAAGAGGCUGGAAGAUGAAGCCUUCGAGGGACACCCUGCUCCCAACACGCCAGUGGUGACCCUGAAUGGGGAAGUUCGUCACCUCUUGGAUUUCAUGGGAGAUAACCGUCCUUUAAUCCUGAAUUUUGGAAGUUGCACCUGACCUUCAUUUAUGCUAAAAUUUGAUGAGUUCAACAAGCUCAUCAAAGAUUUUGGCUCAGUAGCAGAUUUCCUUAUCAUCUACAUUGAGGAAGCUCAUGCAAUGGAUGGGCUUUUAAAAACAAUGUUGUUAUUAAAAAUCACAGAAGCCUUGAAGAUCGAAAAAUUGCAGCACAAUUUCUUCAGAAAAAUAAUCCUUUAUGUCCAGUGGUUUUAGACACUAUGGAAAACCUGAGCAGCUCAAAAUACGCUGCACUGCCAGAACGACUCUAUCUGCUUCAAGGAGGGAAAGUCAUCUACAAGGGAGGAUUUGGGCCUUGGGAUUACCACCCCCAGGAAAUACGUGCCAUCCUGGAAAAGCUGAAAUAGAAAAAGAAGAGGAUUCAGAGUAAAGACUGGAUAAAGAAGUUCAAGAACAAUUUCUCACAGACAUAACUGUAAAGAAAAAAAAAGAAUUUAAAAAUAACAAGAGACAACAAGAAAAGGAAUAUUUUAUGUACAUCUAAAGAGCAUCCAUAAUGGGGUUCAUUAUGUGUUUGUCCAGAGGCUUUCAAGUGUCAUCAUUACAACCCCAACUACUGCUCUGUAGUAUCUUACUCCACUUAUACCACAAGCAGUGCUGUGGUAGCUGGGUCCAUUGAGCUCUCAUACCAACACUUAUAUUUGUAAGGACUGGAAACCAACAUUUACAUGUGUAAGGACUAUCCUGCAGGAUAAACUUCAGGGGUGCUGACUCCUGCAAGAGUCUUCUGGCAUUCAAAGCAACUGAUUCAACAUUACUAAGGUUCUCUUUCUCUUAUAUACAUACACCUGUUCCUAAACACUUUUACUGACUUCAGGAGGCUUCUGAGCAAGGCAAUCUCCAUCUCCACUUGUUUCCAUGAAUAUUUGUUAUGGCGGCCACAGCAUAAAGCACUGACGGCUGUGACCUGAUUCUAGAAAAUAUUUAUAGAAACAAGGGAUUGAUCUACAAUUAUUAAAAGUCUAUCAGAGCA